UGAAACGUUCUAAUGGAUCUCUGUGCAGUGAAAUCUCUGCUUCUCCUCUCAGUUCAUAUUCAUCUUACUUCAGCAGCUUGUGAUGGAGACUCAUCGUCCAACAACUCUUAAACGUCCAACGCCUUCAUGGUGAUUUGACAGAGACAGAUGCGAAGAGAAGAAGAUACUGAAAGAAUUCAGAAGAUAGGACGUGUGAAGAGACCAGCAAAAAAGCCCUUUGUUUAUACAAAUGUUUGUGUCUUUUCUGUGAAAUCAGUCUCCAUCAUACCUGAAAUAUUUUCAGAGUUUUGUUGGCAACACUGCUGUGCUUUUUAUGAGCUUUUAAUUAAGAAACCGUUCUAUCUCAGACAACCUUCCUGAAACUCUGAAGCUCACUUUGAUUUGAUUACCAUGACUCUCCUUUUGCCCUCAGAUGGUUGAGAUGGCUUUGUUGCAUAAAUAUUUACAUGUUUUGGCACCAAGCAGGAGCCUUGGUAUAACAGCACUAGCAAAAUCUCUUUUACCCCACCUGCACUCUUGGCUUUGGGACUUGACUUUUGUUCAGAUCUCAGUUUCCACAUUCAGAACUGGAGCAUCUCAUCAUUAUUAACUAGGAGAUAUCUGAUCAGACAACAUAUAUUUAUUCAGCUGAACUUACUGUAGAAAAAUAUUCAAUGUGGUGGGGAUGCAGGACCAAAACUACAAUAGAUAAAAUUAAGGUU